rnacentral:rRNA from 1 species
AGUAACGCGUAGAUAACCUGCCUAUAGCUGGGGGAUAACACUGCGAAAGUGGUGCUAAUACCGCAUAAUGCAGCGGGGCCGCAUGGCCAUAGUUGUUAAAGGUUUCGGCCGGCUAUAGAUGGGUCUGCGUGCUAUUAGUUAGUUGGUAGGGUAACGGCCUACCAAGGCGAUGAUAGCUAGGGGGUCUGAGAGGAUGAUCCCCCACACUGGGACUGAGACACGGCCCAGACUCC